rnacentral:rRNA from 1 species
GAGAGAUUUGGCAGUGCUCGCAAGAGAACUGGAACACAGGUGCUGCAUGGCUGUCGUCAGCUCGUGUCGUGAGAUGUUGGGUUAAGUCCCGCAACGAGCGCAACCCUUGUCAUUAGUUGCUACGAAAGGGCACUCUAAUGAGACUGCCGGUGACAAACCGGAGGAAGGUGGGGAUGACGUCAAGUCCUCAUGGCCCUUAUGGGUAGGGCUUCACACGUCAUACAAUGGUCGGGACAGAGGGUCGCCAACCCGCGAGGGGGAGCCAAUCCCAGAAACCCGAUCGUAGUCCGGAUCGCAGUCUGCAACUCGACUGCGUGAAGUCGGAAUCGCUAGUAAUCGCGGAUCAGCAUGUCGCGGUGAAUACGUUCCCGGG